GCAAUAUUUAAUAUAAGAAAUAGAAGAAUGUAUAUGGUUGCAAAGUUUCGCAACUCUGCAUAUACUAACAGUUUAAAUACCGCAGUAGAACAGUAUCCAAACUUUAGGUGCAUUCGCGUAU